AACGAACGCUGGCGGCAUGCCUAACACAUGCAAGUCGGACGAGACCUUCGGGUCUAGUGGCGCACGGGUGCGUAACGCGUGGGAACCUGCCCUUAGGUUCGGAAUAACUCCCCGAAAGGGGUGCUAAUACCGGAUAAUGUCUUCGGACCAAAGAUUUAUCGCCUUUGGAUAGGCCCGCGUUGGAUUAGCUAGUUGGUAGGGUAAAAGCCUACCAAGGCGACGAUCCAUAGCUGGUCUGAGAGGAUGAUCAGCCACACUGGGACUGAGACACGGCCCAGACUCCUACGGGAGGCAGCAGUGGGGAAUAUUGGACAAUGGGCGAAAGCCUGAUCCAGCAAUGCCGCGUGAGUGAUGAAGGCCUUAGGGUUGUAAAGCUCUUUUACCCGGGAUGAUAAUGACAGUACCGGGAGAAUAAGCUCCGGCUAACUCCGUG
rnacentral:rRNA from 1 species